AAAGUACUCCCUUCGUCCCAAAAUUCUUGUCUUAGGUUUGUCUAGAUACGGAUGUAUCAAGUCACAUUUUAGUAUUAGAUACAUUCGUAUCUAGACAAAUCUAAGACAAGAAAUUUGGGACAGAGGGAGUAGUUG
rnacentral:pre_miRNA from 1 species